rnacentral:rRNA from 1 species
AGAGUGGCGACCGGCGCACGGGUGAGUAACACGUGUGCAACCAACCCCGUACCGGGAGAUAACCCGCGGAAACGUGGACUAACAUCCCAUGAGACUCUAGAUCCGCAUGGCUCUAGAUUUAAAAUUCCGGUGGUACGGGACGGGCACGCGCGACAUUAGGUAGUUGGCGGGGUAAGGGCCCACCAAGCCGACGAUGUCUAGGGGUUCUGAGAGGAAGGUCCCCCACACUGGAACUGAGACACGGUCCAG